rnacentral:rRNA from 1 species
CGGGUGAGUAAUACAUAAGUAACCUGCCCUAGACAGGGGGAUAACUAUUGGAAACGAUAGCUAAGACCGCAUAGGUACGGACACUGCAUGGUGACCGUAUUAAAAGUGCCUCAAAGCACUGGUAGAGGAUGGACUUAUGGCGCAUUAGUUGGUUGGCGGGGUAACGGCCCACCAAGGCGACGAUGCGUAGCCGACCUGAGAGGGUGACCGGCCACACUGGGACUGAGACACGGCCCAG